AGUGUGGUCCCUGCGAAAUGCUGGGAGAUGGAGUUCUCGGUUCUUCCUCCAUGUUAAGAAAAAGAAGUGAAAGAGAGGCAAAAGGGAAGGAAUACGCCAGCCCACCGAGGAUGGGCCUUGAUGGGCUAGAUCACCUGUGAUUCUGUUCAUCCCUCGCCAUCUCCGUUUCAGCUGUCUCUCACCAGAACUAAUGCCGGAGCUUCCUCGCUGGUCUCCCUGCAAAUUUGAGGACGAUUCGGCAACUUGAAUCCAAACGACAAAGGGCAUAUCCUCUUCUUG
rnacentral:lncRNA from 10 species